UACAGAGGUCUCAAGCGUUGUUCGGAUUCAUUGGGCGUAAAGGGUGCGUAGGCGGCACGGUAAGUCAGAGGUGAAAUCCCGGAGCUCAACUUCGGAAUUGCCUCCGAUACUGCCGUGCUUGAGGACUGGAGAGGAGAUUGGAAUUCACAGUGGAGCAGUGAAAUGCGUAGAUAUUGUGAGGAACACUAGUGGCGAAGGCGAAUCUCUGGACAGUUCCUGACGCUGAGGCACGAAGGCCAGGGGAGCAAACGGG
rnacentral:rRNA from 1 species